rnacentral:piRNA from 1 species
UACAAAGCUCACUCAUCUACUGACAGAUG